AUUGAACGCUGGCGGCAUGCUUUACACAUGCAAGUCGAACGGUAACAGGCCGCAAGGUGCUGACGAGUGGCGAACGGGUGAGUAAUGCAUCGGAACGUGCCCAGUCGUGGGGGAUAACGCAGCGAAAGCUGUGCUAAUACCGCAUACGAUCUAUGGAUGAAAGCGGGGGACCGUAAGGCCUCGCGCGAUUGGAGCGGCCGAUGUCAGAUUAGGUAGUUGGUGGGGUAAAGGCUCACCAAGCCAACGAUCUGUAGCUGGUCUGAGAGGACGACCAGACACACUGGGACUGAGACACGGCCCAGACUCCUACGGGAGGCAGCAGUGGGGAAUUUUGGACAAUGGGCGCAAGCAUGAUCCAGCAAUGCCGCGUGCAGGAAGAAGGCCUUCGGGUUGUAAACUGCUUUUGUACGGAACGAAACGGUCUGGGUUAAUACCCUGGGCUAAUGACGGUACCGUAAGAAUAAGCACCGGCUAACUACGUGCCAGCCGCCGCGGUAAUAC
rnacentral:rRNA from 1 species